rnacentral:rRNA from 1 species
ACGGGGGCCCGCACAAGCGGUGGAGCACGUGGUUUAAUUCGAUGCAAACCGAAGAACCUUACCUGGGUUUGACAUGUACGUGUUACUGAGGUGAAAGCUGAGGGACCACAUCUUCGGAUGAGGAGCGUACACAGGUGCUGCAUGGCUGUCGUCAGCUCGUGUCGUGAGAUGUUGGGUUAAGUCCCGCAACGAGCGCAACCCUUGUCUUUAGUUGCCCAUAUUAAGUUAGGCACUCUAAAGAGACUGCCUCGGUUAACGGGGAGGAAGGUGGGGAUGACGUCAAGUCCUCAUGGCCUUUAUGCCCAGGGCUACACACGUGCUACAAUGGGCGGUACAAUGGGCUGCAACGCCGCGAGGUGGAGCUAAUCCCAUAAAACCGAUCGUAGUCCGGAUCGCAGUCUGCAACUCGACUGCGUGAAGUCGGAAUCGCUAGUAAUCGUGAAUCAGAAUGUCACGGUGAAUACGUUCCCGGGCCUU